rnacentral:rRNA from 1 species
GUGCCAGCAGCCGGGUAAUACGUAGGGUGCGAGCGUUGUCCGGAAUUACUGGGCGUAAAGAGCUCGUAGGUGGUUUGUCGCGUUGUUCGUGAAAUCUCACGGCUUAACUGUGAGCGUGCGGGCGAUACGGGCAGACUGGAGUACUGCAGGGGAGACUGGAAUUCCUGGUGUAGCGGUGGAAUGCGCAGAUAUCAGGAGGAACACCGGUGGCGAAGGCGGGUCUCUGGGCAGUAACUGACGCUGAGGAGCGAAAGCGUGGGGAGCGAACAGGAUUAGAUACCCUGGUAGUCCACGCCGUAAACGGUGGGUACUAGGUGUGGGUUUCCUUCCUUGGGAUCCGUGCCGUAGCUAACGCAUUAAGUACCCCGCCUGGGGAGUACGGCCGCAAGGCUAAAACUCAAAGGAAUUGACGG